CCCCUAUUUCUGCCUCCAAAAACCUGCCUUGGAGGAGCGUCCGCGGAGGGAUUAGGGAUUUAGUGGGGAAGGUAAGUGUGACUACAAGCUUUGGCUCGCCAUCUGCUCCCCAGCAGAGUUGAGGCCAACCUGUGCAGCCUGCAGCAAAGACCUGGGCACCGUGCUAACUGCGGCCUGAGCCAACCUGGCGCCCGCGGCCCCAAUCACCAACAGUCUGCUGAUUAGUUGUAAGGAGCGCUCCAUAUGCAGCAAAGUUCUCUUUUCCCCGUCUCCUUCCCUUCCGUCCUCUCCUCCUUAUUUAUUCCCUCGCCGCAUUAAAUAAAUAUGGAUGUAUGGAACCUCUUUUAGCAAAUGGCGGAUGGCCUUGGGUUGUCUGGCAGGGAGACGCGGAGCCUGUUCUUCUUUCUCCCUCUCACCUCUGACAGAAUACCAAGCCAGGCAAGAAGAAAGAAAAAAAGAUGAAGAAGAAGAAGAAGAAAUCCUGGCUGUCCUCCUCUCCUCCUUCCCUCCCUUGCUCUCUUCUGCCUGGCAGCGCCGGGAGACAGAUGACAAGGGCUCGUGGCCGCCUGAUCACCCCUGGGCUCUCCUCCAGAUGUUGGACGGUGCUCCGGUUCCUCCCAGCUGUGUCCGGCUGUCAAAUAGAUCUUUUUUUCUGCACAAAAAACAGGCAGCAAAGAAAAUGAAUUUUCUGCAAAUAACAAACAGAACUGGUACCAAGACUUAAAAACAAUAAAAUAAUUCUCCUUGGUGGAAUCAUAUUUUGUAUUAUUCCCCUUUUUAGGGGACGUUUCUUUUAGCGUUUACAGCGUGAAUAAAGUCAUCGACCAGAACGCCCAGUGCAGGAGAUUAUUCAUUUAUUAUUGUUAUUAUUCCAAAAACACUGAUGCAAAAUUGUAAAGUUUAUUACUCUUUUUAACCUUGACGAAGUCAGCGUAUACCAACUUAAAUUCAUGUCUUUUCACAAUAAAAGGCCUGGACAGCAGCCGAGUAUUUC
ensembl:lncRNA